rnacentral:rRNA from 1 species
CCUACGGGUGGCAGCAGUCGAGAAUUUUUCACAAUGGGCGAAAGCCUGAUGGAGCGACGCCGCGUGGGGGAUGAAUGGCUUCGGCCCGUAAACCCCUGUCAUUUGCGAACUUGUAGCGGAAGAGGAAGGGACGGCUAACUCUGUGCCAGCAGCCGCGGUAAUACAGAGGUCCCAAGCGUUGUUCGGAUUCACUGGGCGUAAAGGGUGCGUAGGUGGUGAGGUAAGUCGGAUGUGAAAUCUCCGGGCUCAACCCGGAAAUGGCAUUGGAAACUACCUUGCUGGAGGAUUUGAGGGGGGAUUGGAAUACUUGGUGUAGCAGUGAAAUGCGUAGAUAUCAAGUGGAACACCAGUGGCGAAGGCGAAUCCCUGGAAAUCCUGACACUGAGGCACGAAAGCUAGGGGAGCAAACAGGAUUAGAUACCCUUGUAGUC